GUGGUAGUCCAUUGUUGUCGCCCAUGUGAUUGGAAAAUUUGUGGAAAUGUUUGAGUUUUAUGUUGUGUUAUAUAUUUCCUCCGGGAACUUUACUGGAAGAUUGCAAGAAGGCGGCUCCAACAGUACCAUAAAUUGUAACCUACCGGAAAAUCAAGAUUAAGAGCAUUCUCAUAAAGAUUGAAAAACUAUGAUAACAAAUUUUUUUCUAUAGCCAUAGUUUAGCAGCUUUUGGGCCGCAAAUUUCCAACCUUGAUAUUUGAUUGUGCUAGACACUUUGUGAAUGGUAGUUGGGGUUUUCUUAUUCGUUGAUUACAAGGCAAUUCAAUGUUGGUAAGACUUAGGGGUCCUCUUAUUAACCUUUUCAUUACACGCCUGCUUUUUUGCAAAGUUGACCCUCUUCUUACAUCAUUCUUAACUGUAGAGUUACACUGUUCUUGUUGUGAAACAAUAAUUGAGAUUACCAAUCUGGGCCUUGGCAGAGGGCGUGCCUGGUUGUGGCUCUUGGGCAAGGAUAUAUUUUGGAUGUUUUAUGGCCUAUUAUGCGCCAUGGGAUACUAGAUGAUGCUGUCCUUCCAAUUAAGCUAAUGAUAAUGAACUGCAGAACUUGUGAUUAAAUCAAUGGGAAAUUUUACAAGAGUGCUGUUUAGUCAGUACUGCUAGGCAGAUCAAAGGCCCAGCGAUUGAGGUUGUGGAGAAAAGACAGCAUAAACAUGAAUGGGCUGCAGCAUAAGAAAGAAUUGAAAAGAAAGGAGGACGUGACAAGCUGAUGAAUGCACUGGAUGAAAGUUGCUAGUUCGUUGUUCAAGAGUUGUAACACUAGAACUUAAGGUGGUAACUAGAAGAAAGGAAGUCCACAAAGAAAGAGGGCUUGGUUGGUGAACAAAAUCAUGACUACUUAUGGCAUAUUGGAUGAUAUACUCUUUGGCAUCUGUAGUUUAGCGAGUCAGCAACUAAAAUAAGCUAGGAUUAUUUGGUUGGGAUGGCACUUGGGCAGGGUUGCAAGUAUAUAUUCCAGUCCAUAUGGUUGCCGCAAAUAUCCAUCCUGACCCUUUCUAAUGCCAUAGUUUGGUUAGCGAUUCUUGACUUUAGUUUGGUUUGCGAUUCUUGUCAUCUUUCCAUGGUAAAAGCUUUAUCAGAUAAAUUCUUUUUGUCCCUUCAUGAGCUUGUCAAUUAGAGAUUUGAUUGGUGUUUAAUGAGGCGUUCAAGGGAAGAAACACACGAAAAGGGUAUCUUGUGAGUUAAAUGAUGUCUGAGUGGGCCGCAUACUGGUGGAUCCUUUUCUUUUUCUUUGAUGCUUGUUUUAAUCCUUGAAAACAGAAAAAAGGAAAACUGAAAAGGGCCACUUGGGUCACUUUAUGGAAGCCGGGGAUAGAAUCUUGGACAGGUUUCUGGCGGUCAUUUGCCAAUAAGGGCAAACUGCUGGAAUCUUUGAAGUCAGUUUGAUAUUUUGUCGUCAGUGUAGGAGUCAUCUUAUUCCCGUUAUGAAUUCCAAUGUUUAUCAAUAUUAAAAGGUGGUUGCUUUCGCGUAUGAGUUUUGGAAUAAUAGCUUGAUAUGUGUACAAAAAAAUGGGAUGGAGUUAUCUAUAAAGAAAAUUAGGAUUAGACUUGACAGUUGACACCUUGUAAUUUUUCCGAUUAACUUUAAGUGUGCUGUAGUGGAGUUAUCUUUAGAAAUAGAAAA